rnacentral:rRNA from 1 species
UACGUAGGGGGCAAGCGUUGUCCGGAAUCAUUGGGCGUAAAGAGCGUGUAGGCGGUUCAGUAAGUCUGCUGUGAAAGUCCAGGGCUCAACCCUGGGAUGCCGGUGGAUACUGCUGGGCUAGAGUACGGAAGAGGCGAGUGGAAUUCCCGGUGUAGCGGUGAAAUGCGCAGAUAUCGGGAGGAACACCUAUUGCGAAGGCAGCUCGCUGGGACGUGACUGACGCUGAGACGCGAAAGCGUGGGGAGCAAACAGG